rnacentral:rRNA from 1 species
GAUAAACGCUGGCGGCGUGCUUAACACAUGCAAGUCGAACGGAGUGGUUCUCCCGAGGAUUGAAGGUGCUUGCACCAGAUUGACUCAUUUGAAUCACUUAGUGGCGGACGGGUGAGUAACGCGUGGGGAACCUGCCCCAUUCCGGGGGAUACCAGUUGGAAACGACUGUUAAUACCGCAUAAGCGCACGGGAGGACAUCCUCCAGUGUGAAAAACUGAGGUGGAAUGGGAUGGCCCCGCGUCUGAUUAGCCAGUUGGCAGGGUAACGGCCUACCAAAGCGACGAUCAGUAGCCGGCCUGAGAGGGCGACCGGCCACAUUGGGACUGAGACACGGCCCAAACUCC